rnacentral:rRNA from 1 species
UACAGAGGUCUCAAGCGUUGUUCGGAUUCAUUGGGCGUAAAGGGUGCGUAGGCGGCGCGGUAAGUCGGGUGUGAAAUCUCGGAGCUUAACUCCGAAACUGCAUUCGAUACUGCCGUGCUUGAGGACUGGAGAGGAGACUGGAAUUUACGGUGUGGCGGUGAAAUGCGUAGAUAUCGGGAGGAACACCAGUGGCGAAGGCGACUUCCUGGCCUGUUCUUGACGCUGAGGCGCGAAAGCUAGGGGAGCAAACGGG